CGGGGAAAAGUUAGUUUGUUUCUGAAAAAUAUAUACUCAUUUUAAUACAAAUGUCAGCUUAGAACGUCCGAUUUUCUAUUCGCAUGAAAACAAUGUAGUUAUUCCUUAACAACAUCGUGAAAAUUUCUGAACAAUCAUUCUCAAGAGUUGGCAACCUCUUCGAGAUAAGCAAAUUGUAAACAAAAAGUCUUGACUGGUUUUAGCAAGUGAAAGGCCAAGAGUACAAACUCCUAUUAAAAUAAUAUUAUUGGAUUGCUAAAUUAUUCUUUUCAAAAUGAUGAGGGUGUUGCGAAUAGGUGCAGUUGCCUUAUUACGUCAACAACUUUCUCCCAGAACAAACUUGCUAUCUAUUGCAAAAUUUGCAACGGCCUUGAAGGGGCAGGAUGUGGGGACGCCGACACAUACUAUGGAUGAAGUACAAGCUGAGAUAAGACAACGCUUGGGUCUGCAAAGGGGCUACCAUCCCAUACCCAGGAGCCGUGAACAUCUGCUAAAGUACACACCCAAAGCGGAAGAUUUACCGCCACGUUCAAUGCAGGAUUCCUACACGACAGCUGCGCUUCCACUCAGUACGGAUUUGAAGCUACAAGAUAAUUAUGUCUCACAUUUAGGUAACGUACGUAUGGGACGUUUAAUGGAAGAUUUGGAUGCGUUUGCAGUAUGGGUUGCUCAUCAGCAUGUUAAGGUACCAACUUUACCCGCCGAUGUUAAGUUGCCAUACACCUUCGUCACGAUCUUGGUGGAUAAAGUUAGUUUUAGCGAUUUGGUAACCGACGUCAAAGAAGAUAUCCGUUUCUCUGGACAUACGUCCUGGGUUGGACGGAGUUCAAUGGAAAUCGUUGUCUGGGUAGAGCAAAAGCAUCAUGGCGAAUAUAAGAAAAUAACUCGUGCGCUCUUUCUUAUGGGUGCCCGUAAUGCCACUAAUACCGGCGCCGCCCCAGUAAAUCCCAUUGAACCAGCUACUGAUGAAGAGAGGGAAAUACUUUCCGGUGGUGAAGAACGCAAAAAGCGACGCCAAAUAAUCCAAGCGCAAUCUAUUUUUAGAGUAGAACCAAAUGAUUUUGAGCAAACUUUGAUGUAUGACAUUUACAAGCGUACCACGGAUACCAAUACAAUGGAAUUGAACAAACGUUUGUUGCCGGCUAAUGCGCGUUGGAUGUCCGAAUGGAGCACAGUAACAACAAUACCAUCUUUUCCGGAAAACCGCAACGCGCAUAAUACAGUAUUCGGCGGAUUUUUGAUGCGUUUGGCUUUGGAAAAUAGUUGGACGGCUGCAUUCCUGUACUGCAGCGUACGGCCAAAAUUGUUGCAUAUUUGCGACAUAAGCUUUGAAAAGCCCGUUCCAGUUGCAUCGUUUAUAAAGCUAACCUCUUACGUUGUAUAUACGGAAUUGAACUAUCUACAAAUAAUGACAGUCGCGGAUGUGUUGGAUACAAGUGCCGGUGGUAGUAAUCAAGUUACUACAAACGUUUUCUAUAGUACUUAUAAAUCAAAUGAGACGGUACACCAGGUACUGCCACGAUCCUAUCACGAGACUAUGUGGUAUAUUCAAGGAAGACGCAAGUUUAAAUAUGCAAUGGGUUUGGAAUAAAUGAAUUUUGAACAUAUACUACAAAAUUACUUCGAAUGGACAUAAAGAUGCUAUACAUAUUAAAUGCGUGAUUAUUAUUUAAACAAUUCUGAUUUUAAUAAGUUAAUUAUGGUUUAUCACCAGUGCCUAAUAGUUUAAGUAAAAAAAUUAUACAUUUAGUUGGAUAUGGGGAUAUUCUACUUUUUACGUUUGCUAUUUUUACUUAGAUAUGAAUGCAUAUGCAUAUAAAUUAUGGGCUAUUUAUGCUUUAAUUCACGAUAUUUAUAACACACUCAUGCAAAUUACUCCAAAUAAAAGCAAUAAAUUGUGUAUGUAACAAUUAUUAAAGAUUUAUCAUUCGUAUGUGUAUUUUAAUUACUAUUGGUUAUCAAGAAAAAUACUGAAUACCUGGCGCUCCCACAUUUCAAAGGCUAAUCUUUAUAUAUUUCCCUUCCCCCUACUAAAAUGUUUAAAAUUUUGAAACUGCUAAUGCUUCCGGAAAUGCAAACUUUGCAUGUAUUCGCUUCAUAUAAAAAACUUUCAUUGAAACAGACCAUUUGCGCAAAUAUAAAAUUUCCAUGUUAUAUUCUGAGAUCCUCAGAAAAUCCCCUUAUUUGAUAACAAAUUCCAAUUUGUUUUUAAUUUUAUAUUUUUUUGAGUUAAGUGUUGACAUAAAAAUUAAAAAAACGGAAAUCCCAAAGAAAACCUGAAUGCGCGACAACAUUCAUUAUUUCGUCCCCUAUGCAAUCUUUA